GGCUGAUCCAGAACCCUUUGUGGUCAGUGUGAGUCUUUCCAUUGACUUCAGUGGAGUUUGGACCAGGGCCU
rnacentral:miRNA from 1 species